AGUCGUAACAAGGUUUCCGUAGGUGAACCUGCGGAAGGAUCAUUACUAAAUCCCAAAUAUUAUCAUCAUGUUGAAACGUGUGUUGAUUGCUUGUGCGUGUUUUAAUGGUGGUGCUUGUGGGUGUGAGAUAGGCGCCAUUUAAUUGGUCGCCCAGCCACCCCCUCGUCUCCUUUCACGGUGGCGCGCACAAGCAAGCAAACAAAUAUAAACGAUGGACGUGCCAAUGGACAAUAUAUAAUCAUAACAUAAAAAGCAUAACUUUUAACAAUGGAUCUCUUGGCUCUU
rnacentral:misc_RNA from 1 species